GAGGGUGAUGCCUGCCCAAUGGUUGUAUCUAAAAGCGGUUGAUAAAAGUCGACCUUGUAAGGACAAUUGAAUGGCCGCGGUAACACUGACCGUGAUAAUGUAGCGUAAUCAAUAGCCAAUUAAUUGUUGGCCAGUAUGAAUGGCGCCACGAAGGCCCCACUGUCUUAAGGAAAUUCCCAGUGAAAUUGAAUUUGUAGUGAAGAUGCUACGUCCAAUUUGUUAGACGAAAAGACCCCGUUGAGCUUUACUGGAGCACUUACAUGGCCCCGGCCUUCCCAUGCCUGGGAAUCGGCCGAAUUUAAAUGGGCGGCUUAGAUUAUGUGGCAGCCCCCCGCUGGGGCAAAUGAAACACCACUCCCCCAUGUCAAAGGGGCUAACCCCCCCCCCUUGGGGGGGACAGUGUAAGUAGGACAGUUUGGUUGGGGCGACCGCCUUUUAAAAAGUAACGAAGGUGCGCUUAAGGUGCGCAAUUAAUGACUGAAGCCUGACUGCGAGGGGGACACCCCGAGCAGACACCCCAAAGCCCGCCCGAAGGGCGGCGGUGGGGUGG
rnacentral:rRNA from 1 species